UACGUAGGCAGCGAGCGUUGUUCGGAGUUACUGGGCGUAAAGAGUGCGUAGGCGGUUUUCUAAGUUUGGUGUGAAAUCUCCCGGCUUAACUGGGAGGGUGCGCCGAAGACUGGAAGGCUUGAGUAUGGGAGAGGUAAGCGGAAUUCCUGGUGUAGCGGUGAAAUGCGUAGAUAUCAGGAGGAACACCUGCGGUGUAGACGGCUUACUGGACCAUCACUGACGCUGAGGCACGAAAGCGUGGGUAACAAACAGG
rnacentral:rRNA from 1 species